rnacentral:rRNA from 1 species
CCUACGUGAGGCAGCAGUGGGGAAUAUUUCGCAAUGGGCGAAAGCCUGACGCAGCGACGCCGCGUGAGGGAUGAAGGUCUUCGGAUCGUAAACCUCUGUCAGCAGGGAAGAACGGUCACUGUGCUAAUCAGCAGUGAAUUGACGGUACCUGCAAAGGAAGCACCGGCUAACUCCGUGCCAGCAGCCGCGGUAAUACGGAGGGUGCGAGCGUUAAUCGGAAUUACUGGGCGUAAAGCGCUCGUAGGCGGUAUGUCAAGUCAAGGGUGAAAUCCCCGCGCUCAACGUGGGAACUGCCUUUGAAACUGGCAAACUGGAGUGUGUGAGAGGAUAGGGGAAUUCCAGGUGUAGGAGUGAAAUCCGUAGAUAUCUGGAGGAACAUCAGUGGCGAAGGCGACUAUCUGGCACAUAACUGACGCUGAGGAGCGAAAGCGUGGGUAGCAAACAGGAUUAGAUACCCGGGUAGUC